UACGUAGGGUGCGAGCGUUAAUCGGAAUUACUGGGCGUAAAGCGUGCGCAGGCGGUUAUGCAAGACAGAUGUGAAAUCCCCCGGGCUCAACCUGGGAACUGCAUUUGUGACUGCAUGGCUGGAGUGCGGCAGAGGGGGAUGGAAUUCCGCGUGUAGCAGUGAAAUGCGUAGAUAUGCGGAGGAACACCGAUGGCGAAGGCAGCCCCCCUGGGCUAACACUGACGCUCAGGCACGAAAGCGUGGGGAGCAAACAGG
rnacentral:rRNA from 1 species